AGUUCUGUGUCUCGAUGACCCUAAAUCGAUAUUAAGUCUAUAUAACUCUAAACUCAAUAACUCUUCAAAAAAAAAAAAAACUCUAAACUCAAUAAAUUGAAAGGUUGAUAGUGUCUCGAUAACUCUUAAAUGCUAAAUUUUAUAUUAGAGAUUAUAUGACCUUAAAUUCGAGAAAAGUGUGAGAUACUAGAUGAUUUUGUUGAUGAUGUGAUAUAUCUGUUGGCUUUUGUGUUGGUGUUUCGUGAUAAUUAAACUGUACAAGAAAGGAUAAUGGACUCAAAUGAUUUGGAGCGUGAAAGAGGAAUCACUAUACUGAGUAAAAUUACAUCUGUGACUUAUAAAGAUGGCAAGAUUAAUAUAAUUGACAUUCCUGGUCACUCUGAUUUUGGUGGUUCAGUUGAGCGCAUCUUGAAUAUGGUCGAAGGAAUCCUUCUAGUGGUAGAUUCUGUUGAAGGGCCAAUGCCUCAGACAAGAUUUGUCUUAAAGAAGGCUAUAGAGUUUGGUCAUGCGGUUGUUGUAGUUGUGAAUCAAAUAGACAGGUCUUCUGCUCUCCCUGAGUUUGUCGUCAAUUCCACUUUUCAACUCUUCAUUGAAUUAAAUGCAACAAAAUGAACAGUGUGACUUUCAGGUAAUAUAUGCAAGUGGUAUAAAAGGGACUUUGGGCCAUUGUUUGAAUCCAUCACGAGUUGUAUCCCUGGACCACGUAUUGAUAAAGAUGGCUCACGCCAAAUGCUUGUUACAAGUACAGAGUAUGAGGGACAUAAAGGGCGUAUAGCAAUUGGGCGCUUGUAAGCUGGAGUUUUAGAAAAAGGGAUGGAGGUCAAGGUAUGCACUUCAGAAGAUUCAUGUAGAUAUGCAAGAGUUAGCGAGAUUUAUGUAUAUGAAAAAUUCUUUAGGGUCCCUGCAGAUAGAGUGGAGGCUGGUGAUAUGUGCAGUAUGUGGAAUUUCUGAUAUUCAGAUUGGGGAGACAAUUGCGGAUAAAGUGACUGGGAAGGCACUACCUUCCAUCGAAGUGGAAGAACCAACAGUGAAAAUGGCUUUCCCCAUAAACACUUUACCUUUUGUCGGUCGUGAGGUA